GAGGGUGGAUCCCUCAGAAUCAUUUUACAGGUAUAGAUUCCAAACCACCUAAUGCUGAUUUGGUCAAAAGUCAUGGUAGUGAGCAUUAAGAAAGGUGAAGUUUGACCGCUUCAGGU
rfam:Desulfosporosinus sp. OT TOT.assembly.164, whole genome shotgun sequence.